GAUGAAGAACGCAGCGAAAUGCGAUAAGUAAUGUGAAUUGCAGAAUUCAGUGAAUCAUCGAAUCUUUGAACGCACAUUGCGCCCGCCAGUAUUCUGGCGAGCAUGCCUGUUCGAGCGUCAUUUCAACCAUCAAGCCCCAAGCUUGUGUUGGAGCCCUGCGGCUGCCGCAGCCUCCCAAAACCAGUGGCGGGCUCGCUAUCACACCGAGUGCAGUAGUUUACUCUUCGCUCAGGGCGUGUGGCGGGUGCUAGCCGUGAAACCCCCAACUUCUCAAGGUUGACCUCGGAUCAGGUAGGAAUACCCGCUGAACUUAAGCAUAUCAAUAAGCGGAGGA
rnacentral:misc_RNA from 1 species